rnacentral:rRNA from 1 species
CCUACGGGGGGCAGCAGUGGGGAAUGGUGCGCAAUGAUCGGAAGAGUGACGCAGCGACGCCGCGUGAAUGACGAAGGCCUUCGGGUCGUAAAGUUCUUUCGACAGGGAAGAAAAGGCCGAUAAGUAACUGUGUAUGUAUUGACGGUACCAGUAGAAGCAGACCCGGCUAACUCCGUGCCAGCAGCCGCGGUAAUACGGAGGGGGCGAGCGUUGUGCGGAGUGACUGGGCGGAAAGAGCACGUAGGCGGUGUUGGAAGUCAUUAGUCAAAGCCUCGCGCUCAACUUUAGUAUGGCUAGUGAUACUCUCAUCCUAGCGUAUCAGUGAGGCUUGCAGUCUUCCUGGUGUAGCGGU